GACGAACGCUGGCGGCGUGCUUAACACAUGCAAGUCGAACGGUGAAGGGACCGGUUUUUGCUGGUUCUGGUUGCGUGGCGAACGGGUGAGUAACACGUGAGUAACCUGCCCCCUUCUUCUGGAUAACCGCAUGAAAGUGUGGCUAAUACGGGAUAUUCUGCGCCUGCUGCAUGGUGGGUUUUGGAAAGAUUUUGUUUCGGUUGGGGAUGGGCUCGCGGCCUAUCAGCUUGUUGGUGGGGUGAUGGCCUACCAAGGCGGUGACGGGUAGCCGGCCUGAGAGGGUGGACGGUCACACAGGGACUGAGACACGGGCCAGACUCGUACGGGAGGCAGAAGGGGGGAAUAGUGAACAAUGGGCGCAAGCCUGAGGCAGCGACGCCGAGUGAGGGAUGGAGGCCUUCGGGUAGUAAACCUCUUUCGCCAGGGAAGCAGGCCUGUCCCUUUUGUGGGGGGGUUGACGGUAGCUGGAUAAGAAGCACCGGCUAACUACGU
rnacentral:rRNA from 1 species